UGGGGAAUAUUGCACAAUGGGGGGAACCCUGAUGCAGCAACGCCGCGUGAAGGAAGAAGUAAUUCGUUAUGUAAACUUCUAUCGACAGGGAAGAAAGAAAUGACGGUACCUGAAUAAGAAGCCCCGGCUAAUUACGUGCCAGCAGCCGCGGUAAUACGUAAGGGGCAAGCGUUAUCCGGAUUUACUGGGUGUAAAGGGUGAGUAGGCGGCGAUGCAAGUCAUAUGUGAAAUUCCGGGGCUUAACUCCGGAGCUGCAUAAGAAACUGCGUUGCUUGAGUGCAGGAGAGGCAAGCGGAAUUCCUA
rnacentral:rRNA from 1 species